rnacentral:rRNA from 1 species
ACGGAAGGCAGCAGUGAGGAAUAUUGGUCAAUGGAGGCAACUCUGAACCAGCCAUCUCGCGUGAAGGAAUACGGCCCUACGGGUCUUAAACUUCUUUUAUAGGGGGAUAAAGUGAGCCACGAGUGGCUUUUUGUAGGUACCCUAUGAAUAAGCAUCGGCUAACUCCGUGCCAGCAGCCGCGGUAAUACGGAGGAUGCGAGCGUUAUCCGGAUUUAUUGGGUUUAAAGGGUGCGUAGGCGGGUGAUCAAGUCAGUGGUGAAAUGGUGCGGCUCAACCGUAGCAUUGCCGUUGAAACUGGUUGUCUUGAGUGCGAAUGAGGUGGGCGGAAUGUGUCAUGUAGCGGUGAAAUGCAUAGAUAUGACACAGAACACCGAUUGCGGAGGCAGCUCACUGGGACGCGACUGACGCUGAGGCACGAAAGUGCGGGGAUCGAACAGGAUUAGAUACCCUGGUA